rnacentral:rRNA from 1 species
UACGUAGGGGGCUAGCGUUAUCCGGAUUUACUGGGCGUAAAGGGUGCGUAGGUGGUUUCUUAAGUCAGGAGUGAAAGGCUACGGCUUAACCGUAGUAAGCUCUUGAAACUGGGAAACUUGAGUGCAGGAGAGGAAAGUGGAAUUCCUAGUGUAGCGGUGAAAUGCGUAGAUAUUAGGAGGAACACCAGUAGCGAAGGCGGCUUUCUGGACUGUAACUGACACUGAGGCACGAAAGCGUGGGGAGCAAACAGGAUUAGAUACCCUGGUAGUCCCUGAGCGGGCU